AGUGUCAGGCGAGCGGAGACCCAAUUGACGAGUCCGAUGGGGGUUUGAUUAUCAGCGCCAGUCAGACCCGGUUGCUCGCAAAGGGAGUUAGACACCGCUGUCGCUUGGCUACACGGAUGGGUAAACCUUUGUUGGCCCAGAUUCAAAUCGAGGUCCCUUAAGGACACUGAAACACUGUGCACCACCAGCCGAGACCCGCGUGGUUGAGCUAUAUAAUCUCCAUUUACUAUUUUGUCUUUGAAAUCGUUUUCCGAAUCUGUGUUAUUUAUUGUUGUUUUUAUUUGUAAUGUGUUAGUUUUGCUAAAUAGUAUAUGUUUAUAAUAAAAUUGAAAUUAAAAAAAAAUAUAUAAAAUUUUAAAUUCGAAAAUAUAUAAUUUGAAAACUAUAACAAAAAUAUUUUUUAUUUUGAAUAAUUAUUUAUAUUUAUAUAAUUAUAUAUAUUUAUAUAUCUAUAAAGCAAUUAUAGAAAUGUGUUUGAAAUCUGUUUUGGUCAUUUUUCUUCUUAGGAACUUUUUUGGUGACAAAAACUUUAAAAAUUGUUAUUCAAUAAAAUUACCCUUUAAACAUUAAUUAAAGUAUAUUAUAUAGAUACAUAUUAUUGGAAAAACUAGUGCUUUUUUUGUAUUUUUAAUAAUUAAAAAACUAAAACUAAAAACUAAAAUAAAUAUUAACAAUAGGUGUGACCACACCUAUAUCCACAUCAUCUUACCUUCUUUCAAUUUAAGUGUGGUCCAAGAAAAUAUUUUUCCUGCUCUUCAUCUUUUUUUUUCAAGCAAAAAUUAUUAAUUUUAACUGAAAAUAAAAGCAAAGGACAUUGCGGAAUGGUAACCCAUUUUUCAUCCCGCUGUGUGUUAUGCUUGAACCGCUUGAUACAUUUGAGGCCUAAGACAUUAAUGUAUUUUGUAAUCUAAUUCGUUUGAAGCUCUACUGCUUUGCCAAUGUAAAACAAGCCUUUGGGCUUUUAUCAAUUAAAUUUGACAAAAGAUUUAAAUAUAUUACGACAUAAAAGAUUAUUUUUCCUAUAAUAAUUUUUAAUUAUUUUAAAUGAUAAAUAUUAAUAACAAAAAUAAAACUUAUUAAAGAAUCGUUAUCAUAAAUAGAAGCAAAAUUGUUAAUAUUCAAAUACCAUAAAGUAAUAAAAUAUAUCCAAAAAUUAAUUUACCAAGGAGAAACUAAUAUUUAUUUAAAAUUUAUGAAACGAAAAGAAAAAAUAACUCAAAAAUUUUUAAAAAACUAUAUUAAUAAAAAAAUUCAAAUCAAUCAAUAUAUAUCAAUAAAAUAACUUCAAUGUAAAUAAUAUUGCUAAUACUAUCUAGUUUACAUAUAACUAUACUAUUAUCUAUUACUAUAUUUAAUCAAUCAAUUUUUGGUUUAGUUGGUUUAUAACUGAUGCAUAGAUUGCGAUUUUUACAUAAUAACAUCCAUACAGUUUAUUUGGUAUAACCAAAUUCAAACCAUAUUUUUAUCGGUUAGGUUUGAUUUUACAAAAUUGAACACAACUGAUUCUUCUUAAGUUAGUUUUGCUAAUAGUUUUCCUUUGAAAUUUGUUAUCCAAUUUAAUAUCAUAGUUACGAUUAGUUAAUUAGGUUCAAUCAUCUUGCAUGUACCUUAUGUCACAAUGCUGUACAACUAUGGGACUGAUAAAAUAAAAUAAAAACUAUUGGUUCACUGAUUAACUGAUGAUUCACAACCACACGUUAUGAUAUUUUAGGCAGGUAACCGUGGACUCUGGGACGUUACGGAAAGGACCUGCCCCCUAAGCCAUUUGUGGAUUGGUUCAAUACAUACCAUUAUUGUUUAUUUAAGUUUAAAUUAGGUCCUGAAUAUUUCUAGAAAUUAUGGAUUAAAAGAAAACCCAUGUGAUUAUGUGAGUACACCUAAUACGUACCAGGCGACAAAGAAGUCAAACUUUCACAUGUUAAGUCUUCUGUUGAUCAUUAUAAAAUAAGAAAAGCCAUUUGUUAUAUGAUUUCAAAGAUGUAUUGUUCGUUCGUUCAAAGAGUUUCAUGG
rnacentral:lncRNA from 1 species